GUUUUCAUAGCUGAUUUGGUCAGAGCACCCAUUUAGUAAGCAGGAGGUCUUGAGUUCAAGUCUCAGUGAAAGUA
rnacentral:tRNA from 1 species